rnacentral:rRNA from 1 species
CCUACGGGUGGCUGCAGUGGGGAAUAUUGGGCAAUGGAGGAAACUCUGACCCAGCAAUGCCGCGUGAAUGAAGAAGGUCUUCGGAUUGUAAAGUUCUUUAGUCAGGGAAGAAUAAAAUGACGGUACCUGAAGAAUAAGCUCCGGCUAACUACGUGCCAGCAGCCGCGGUAAUACAUAGGGAGCAAGCGUUGUUCGGAAUGACUGGGCGUAAAGGGUGCGUAGGUGGUUAUACAAGUUAGAAGUGUAAUACCCAGGGGUUAAACCGGGUGCUGCUUCUGAAACUGGAAGACUUGAGUGCAGUAGAGGUUAGUGGAAUUCCUGGUGUAGCGGUGGAAUGCGUAGAUAUUAGGAAGAACACCAGAGGCGAAGGCAGCUAACUGGACUGCAACUGACGCUGAGGCACGAAAGUGUGGGGAGCAAACAGGAUUAGAUACCCUUGUAGUC